rnacentral:rRNA from 1 species
GGUUCUAUUUUGUUGGUUUCUAGGACCGCCGUAAUGAUUAAUAGGGAUAGUCGGGGGCGUCAGUAUUCAGCUGUCAGAGGUGAAAUUCUUGGAUUUGCUGAAGACUAACUACUGCGAAAGCAUUCGCCAAGGAUGUUUUCAUUAAUCAGGGAACGAAAGUUAGGGGAUCGAAGACGAUCAGAUACCGUCGUAGUCUUAACCAUAAACUAUGCCGACCAGGGAUCGGACGGGAUUCUAUAAUGACCCGUUCGGCACCUUACGGGAAAUCAAAGUUUUUGGGUUCUGGGGGGAGCAUGGUCGCAAGGCCGAAACUUAAAGAAAUUGACGGAAGGGCACCACAAGGCGUGGAGCCUGCGGCUUAAUUUGACUCAACACGGGGAAACUCACCAGGUCCAGACAAAAUAAGGAUUGACAGAUUGAGAG